UCCAAACUCCUACGGGAGGCAGCAGUGGGGGAUAUUGCACAAUGGGGGGAACCCUGAUGCAGCGACGCCGCGUGGGUGAAGGAGUAUUUCGGUAUGUAAAGCCCUAUCGGCAGGGAAGAAGCAAGACGGUACCUGACUAAGAAGCCCCGGCUAACUACGUGCCAGCAGCCGCGGUAAUACGUAGGGGGCGAGCGUUAUCCGGAUUCACUGGGUGUAAAGGGAGCGUAGACGGCCAUGCAAGCCAGGGGUGAAAGCCCGGGGCCCAACCGCGGGACUGCAUUGGGAACUACCGGGCUGGAGUGCCGGAGAGGUAGGCGGAAUUCCUAGUGUAGCGGUGAAAUGCGUAGAUAUUAGGAGGAACGCCAGUGGCGAAGGCGGCCUACUGGACGGUGACUGACGCUGAGGCUCGAAAGCGUGGGGAGCAAACAGGAUUAGAUACCCCGGUAC
rnacentral:rRNA from 1 species